GAGGCGGAGGUUGCAGUGAGCCAAUAUCACACCAGUGCACUCCAGCCUUGACGACAGAGCAAGACUCUGUCUCAAGAAAAUAUAUUAAGUAAUUCUGAAUUAUUGGAACUUAAGUCUUUACUGUUCUUGAGGUUUUCAGAAUGGUUCCUUGGUAAAUAUAUCUCACCAUGCACUCAGAAAAUAUCAUCCUCUCCUGACAGCCUCUAUUUUAAAUCCACACCAAUUUGUAAGAGUGCCUUUCUAGUCACCAGAAAUAAUAAAAUACUUCAGUUCUUUUUCACUAAAUGAAAUUAUAAUUACUUGCUUUAAAACUACUUAGUUCUAGACUAAAUAUAGGGGAUAAAAAAAAAAAAAUUAAGAGCAAGGAUCCUCAUCCAAUAUUGUGAGCAUUAUUUCUUAGUUUUCCUUCUCAGACCUAGUGGAAUUUUUCUCAGUUUCAACUUGAUGACUCUCUCAAACAGGAGAAUAACCUUUGAGCUCAGUAAGGACAGAGACUGUAUCUUUCUCAUUUUUGUGGCACUACAGCCAAAAACUGACUGGCACAAUAUAGAUGCUCUGUAAAUGUCUGUAGAAACCAAGACAGUUUGGAGUUUGAUCAUCAAGCCGUUCACAAGGAUUGAGCAGAGUAGCUGAUGGUAUUAGUGUAGGGAGAAUUCUAUAUGCAUGUCUAUGAUGUUGUAGAAAGGCCACACUUCAGGUUUGUAGUGUAUCUUAAGAUAGCCAUUUUUAAUUAAAAAUAUCCUGUAGCAUUCUUGCUUUGAGAAAAAAACAGUUGGAAUUCAAGAGCCCAAUAAGAGAAUUAAUAACUUUGCUUUGAAAGUACAUGCAAUUUCAGACCUGUCAAUUUUAACUAUGUCUCUUUAAAUACUUUUUUCUUCUAGAAUCCAACUGAGUAGAUGAAGGUUUUUUUUUUUUUUUUUUAAAUUCCAUUAUAGAAGUAAUAGCCCUGUUUUGGUGUUUUGUAAGCAGGUAAUAUUCUGCUGGUGACUGUCUUCACAGUAAUGCAUUGCUGUGAAUUCUGAAUUCUAUUAUUUUACAUCUAUAGCGCGUAAAGUGUAUUUUUUAUAAACAGCAAACUUCACCUCAUAAAAAUUCAUUACAUAAGGGCAUAAGCAAGUGCUUUUCCUUCUAGUCAUUGGCAGUAAGUGAUUCAUCAGUUUUUCACAGAAAACCAAUUUCAUUGCAGAUGUUCUGUAAUUUCCAGUCCUCCUGAAUUGUGGAGCCAUAUCACACAAUCCCAAUGCAAAGAACAUAAGGACUUUUUAAAGGUCGGUGCUUAGUCUCUUUAAUAGGAUUGAAUAUCACUUGCUGUCUCAUCUGUUUUAUUUUUUAAAAAUUAAGAAAUCAGACUCCUUUGCUUUCCUAUAUAUGUUGAUUCCACACAUGGAUGGAUAACUGGUAGCAAAUUGAAAACCAACAGAUUUCUUCAUAUUUGAAACAAUGACAUUCAGUCUUUUCCCUGGAAUCAAAGCAGAACUAUUAAGAGAAACAAAAAUUUUCCCAAACCUAAAUCCUUUUUCUUCAAUCGUGCUUAUUUUCACUCUUUUUUUUACCCCAGGGUAAGGAAGUCAGGCAGAGGGCUGGGGGAGAUGCAGAAGUGUCCAUCUAUCAAUUAAUGGAGCUCCUGAGAAUUUUCCUCAGAUUCAAACCUCAAGGAGGAAGAGCAACUGGACAGAUCAUAGUUCCUGGGGAUGCACCACAGCCAUACUGCUCCAGGAAGACACAGAUAUGAAUUGAAAGGUCUAAAGAAUCCUUCAUGUGAUAAGCUUGUUGGAGCAGUGCGGACCCCAAUGAGAUCUGCAGUCACUUAGUUCUGCAUGCAACUGAGUAGCAUGUACCCCAAUACAUAUUAGGAAGCCCACUGUGGCCAACCGUCUAAACCAGGUCUUUAAUACAUUUUGUCAGGAACAUGAGUAAUAAAUUUUUCUCCAUGAUUAGUUUUGAACUUAGCAAGGAAAGUAGUACCACGAGAUAAGAUUAUUUUCUUCAAAAAGAAAACAUCUUGCAAGCAUCAACCUUUCCUAUACUCUUAAUAAAACUAUCUGGUUCAGUUUUGA